GACGAACGCUGGCGGCGUGCUUAACACAUGCAAGUCGAACGAUGAAGCUGAAGCUUGCUCCGGUGGAUUAGUGGCGAACGGGGGAGUAACACGUGAGAAAUCUGCCCUUGACUCUGGGAUAACUGCGGGAAACUGUAGCUAAUACCGGAUACUUUCCCUGGUGGGCAUCCACUGGGGAAGAAAGAAUUUCGGUCAAGGAUGAUCUCGCGGCCUAUCAGCUUGUUGGUGAGGUAAUGGCUCACCAAGGCGACGACGGGUAGCCGGCCUGAGAGGGCGCCCGGCCACACUGGGACUGGCGAACGGCCCAGACUCCUACGGGAGGCAGCAGUGGGGAAUAUUGCGCAAUGGGCGCAAGCCUGAUGCAGCAACGCCGCGUGAGGGAUGACGGCCUUCGGGUUAUAAACCUCUUUUAGGAGGGAAGUAGCGAAAGUGACGGUACCUGCAGAAAAAGCACCGGCUAACUACGUGCCAGCAGCCGCCGUAA
rnacentral:rRNA from 1 species